rnacentral:tRNA from 3 species
GCAAGUAUAGUUUAACCCAAACAUUAGACUGUGACUCUAAAAAUAGAAGUUAGACCCUUCUUACCUGCC